AAGCCACUAGGAACGCCGGGUCGUAACCCUAAAGUACGGGUAACCGGUAAGGAGGCCGACCGUAGGGUAAACUGGUGACUGGGGNU
rnacentral:rRNA from 1 species